rnacentral:rRNA from 1 species
UACAGAGGUCCCGAGCGUUGUUCGGAUUCACUGGGCGUAAAGGGUGCGUAGGUGGUGGGGUAAGUCUGGUGUGAAAGCUCGCAGCUCAACUGCGAAAUGGCACUGGAAACUACCUUGCUGGAGGCUUGGAGGGGGGACUGGAAUUCUCGGUGUAGCAGUGAAAUGCGUAGAUAUCGAGAGGAACACCAGUGGCGAAGGCGAGUCCCUGGACAAGACCUGACACUGAGGCACGAAGGUCAGGGGGAGCAAAACGGG